rnacentral:tRNA from 1 species
AUUUUAAUAGCUUAUUUAUAAAGUGUGAUAUUGAAGAUAUUAAGAAGACGUGUAUGUUUUAAAAUA